ensembl:miRNA
CUCGAAUCCUUGGAACCUAGGUGUGAGUGCUGUUCUAGUGCAACACACCUAUUCAAGGAUUCAAA